UACAGAGGGUGCAAGCGUUAAUCGGAAUUACUGGGCGUAAAGCGUGCGCAGGCGGUUUUGUAAGUCUGAUGUGAAAGCCCCGGGCUCAACCUGGGAAUUGCAUUGGAGACUGCAAGGCUUGAAUCUGGCAGAGGGGGGUAGAAUUCCACGUGUAGCAGUGAAAUGCGUAGAGAUGUGGAGGAACACCGAUGGCGAAGGCAGCCCCCUGGGUCAAGAUUGACGCUCAUGCACGAAAGCGUGGGGAGCAAACAGG
rnacentral:misc_RNA from 1 species